rnacentral:rRNA from 1 species
ACGAACGCUGGCGGCGUGCCUAAUACAUGCAAGUAGAACGCUGAAGGAGGAGCUUGCUCUUCUGGAUGAGUUGCGAACGGGUGAGUAACGCGUAGGUAACCUGCCUGGUAGCGGGGGAUAACUAUUGGAAACGAUAGCUAAUACCGCAUAAUAGUAGAUGUUGCAUGAUAUUUACUUAAAAGGUGCAAUUGCACCACUACCAGAUGGACCUGCGUUGUAUUAGCUAGUUGGUGGGGUAACGGCUCACCAAGGCGACGAUACAUAGCCGACCUGAGAGGGUGAUCGGCCACACUGGGACUGAGACACGGCCCAGACUCCUACGGGAGGCAGCAGUAGGGAAUCUUCGGCAAUAGACGAAAGUCUGACCGAGCAACGCCGCGUGAGUGAAGAAGGUUUUCGGAUCGUAAAGCUCUGUUGUAAGAGAAGAACGAGUGUGAGAGUGGAAAGUUCACACUGUGACGGUAUCUUACCAGAAAGGGACGGCUAACUACGUG